rnacentral:tRNA from 1 species
GGCCGAGUGGCGGAAUUGGCAGACGCUCCGGACUUAAAAUCCGGUGGGGGGUAACCCUCGUGCGGGUUCGAGUCCCGCCUCGGCUAC